GUCUCCUGACCGCGGUGGUGGCUGCAGUGGUUCCCUGGGCUUCCUGGCCCGGAGCUGGGCACCCAUUAUUCCCCCGCCCUGCGCAGCCUGGGGCUCCCGCUUGGCUUUCGGCGAGCCUACCGCGCCGGUGAGGAAACCCUGACUCGUUUGCAAACUGGGCGGGGAAGCAAAGUUUAGAGAAAUGGAGCUUUGUUAGAUAAAAAUUUUUUCAACGCAAACAGUCAUUUUCCAGUGAAAGGAGAGCGUAUCCGCCGUAGGAUGGACUUAGAUCGUGUAAAAGCUGAGGCCACCGAGGAUAUAACCUCCGGGGUCCUUUGCCUCCUUUUCCUUAGACUCCCUCCAAACUCGUCUCUGACCCUUAUGAUGAGGAAGAAAGGCAUCACAACUUUUC
rnacentral:lncRNA from 10 species